rnacentral:rRNA from 1 species
CGUCACUCCUGCGGGAGGCAGCAGUGGGGAAUAUUGGACAAUGGGCGCAAGCCUGAUCCAGCCAUGCCGCGUGAGUGAUGAAGGCCCUAGGGUUGUAAAGCUCUUUCACCGGUGAAGAUAAUGACGGUAACCGGAGAAGAAGCCCCGGCUAACUUCGUGCCAGCAGCCGCGGUAAUACGAAGGGGGCUAGCGUUGUUCGGAUUUACUGGGCGUAAAGCGCACGUAGGCGGACUAUUAAGUCAGGGGUGAAAUCCCGGGGCUCAACCCCGGAACUGCCUUUGAUACUGGUAGUCUUGAGUUCGAGAGAGGUGAGUGGAAUUCCGAGUGUAGAGGUGAAAUUCGUAGAUAUUCGGAGGAACACCAGUGGCGAAGGCGGCUCACUGGCUCGAUACUGACGCUGAGGUGCGAAAGCGUGGGGAGCAAACAGUAUUAGAAACCCGUGUAGUCCCA